rnacentral:rRNA from 1 species
UACGGGGGGGGCAAGCGUUGUUCGGAAUUACUGGGCGUAAAGGGCGCGUAGGCGGCCUGCUAAGUCGGACGUGAAAUCCCCUGGCUCAACCAGGGAACUGCGUCCGAUACUGGCGGGCUUGAAUCCGGGAGAGGGAUGCGGAAUUCCAGGUGUAGCGGUGAAAUGCGUAGAUAUCUGGAGGAACACCGGUGGCGAAGGCGGCAUCCUGGACCGGCAUUGACGCUGAGGCGCGAAAGCCAGGGGAGCAAACGGG